AACACAUGAGCAGAUAUAAUAUCGGCUUGCUUGAUUUUUAAAAUGUUUCAAGCCGAGUUACAUAUGACGAACUCGAUAUAACUGCACCCUAUUUGUUGAACAACUAAACUUUAAAACCUGUCUUUCGUGUUUUGCGGUUAGGGCUCAACUGAGAGAGAAAUAGAGAGAUCGAGCGAGCGAGCGAGCUUUCAAAUUACAAGUGGAUGCGGAAAGGCGCUCAGGGUUCACAUGAUCAAUUUUUGGAAGAACAAAAAACAAAUUAAGGCUUAGAAGGAGAUAAUUUAUGACAGGUUAUUAUGUCAACAAAGAAUGAAGGGCUGGCCCAUUGUAAAUUCAUCCUGGUGUUUGCCAUCAUUAUGGACAUCUUUGGGAUCACUACCGUGCUGAUGGGAGUCUUUGCCCCAUUAGAGGUCAAAGGUCAUGACUUUGGUGAUUUGCUGGUAUAUACAGGUACAGUUCUGGUCAUGCUGUCUAUGGCUGGCUGGGUCAUGUGGUACAGCGGCAAUAUCGAAGGCUUGACCUCAAUAAAAGACCUUGAAGCCAGACGUACUCCCUUGGAUCGUCUGGCUUGCUCACUCAGUCAGCGGAUACGAAGGAGCCGUCGCAGUCAUCACAGUCGUCCCCCAGUCGCGGACCUCAACUGACUGGAAUAGAGUACAUAUAGCUAUCAAGGCCCAAAGUUCAGCUUCUGAAGCAUUAGCUUAUCCCUAAAUAUAGCAUGAUGAAAGUAACAGGAGGAGUACAGUUGCAGAGGGUUUUAAUACAUGAUUUUGAGACAAUUUGAUAUAGUCAAAAGGCACAGAAUUAUAAGAUGAUUUUCUCUAAAUCUUACCAUGACUGUGCAUGGUGAAGUCUAAUAUAACAAAUUAAAGACUGUGCUAUCAAAGCUAUUAUUUCAAUGACCCCACACUCAAAACAAGCACACAAAGGGGAAUCUCUGAUGUAAUGGUACAUAUUUAUUUCUUUGAAUAAUAUUGUUGUUUCUACAACUUAUCUGUAAAAUCACUUUAAAGGCAAGUGUAUAUGGAGACCAUUUGCUAAACUAUGUUGUACAUUACCAGAUCUAAAAUGCACAGUAUAUAAAAGAUCUCUGUCAAAGGAGUAAUAAGUCUUUUUUUUUUUUUUUUGGCCAGUGAUUCUUCACAUUAUGUAACAACCAUUGUACCGACAUCUAAUGGCCUGUUAACAUCAGAGAUUCUGUACCAACUUAAAUUUAAAAAUGGCCACUUCCAUGUGGGGAAUCCAUUCGAUGACUUUCAUAAGUAUUACUUUAUGGUGGAAAAAAACCUUUAAAUGUUAAAAUUUUAUGUGGGUGGUAUGCAUUUUCUUAUUAUAGCAAGUAUAAUUUAUGUUAUAAAAGUGUCAUUUUGAGGUUUUAUUGUCAUUUUAAUUGGAACAUUUCAUAUUUUUAAUAAAAAAUAUUGUACUUACAAAAGUAAUUUUGAACUUUUCUUUCAUAAUACAGUUCAAAGUUGUGUCUUUACAAGGCCAUUUCCAUAACAUUUUGAGUACUGAAUAAUUAACAUAUGAGAUUAGCCUAUAGAAAACAACCAAAACCAACACUUACUGCAGUCAUUUAUACACUUUCACUUAUUCAAAUACUGCAAAAUUAAAGUCAAAUAACAAAAAUACACAGUAAAUUAGACAUGAAACCAUAGAGGACAUCACUUGGAUCACUUUAGAUCACUCCUCUACAGUCAAAAUCAAAAAUAGAUCAGAUAAUCUCAUAUUAGACAUUACUAAAUUUAGUGUAUCAACAUGAAACUGUUUGUAUGUUAAACCUAGCUGGCAAUGCAGGUUAACCAAACUGAACUCAUUUUCAUUUGCAUAGUUUUUGCAUAGCUGUGCUGAGCUAACAUUAGCAGCUUCACUGUGGAGAGCAACUAUCAACAUCUCUACAUUCUCCAUGUUAAUAUUUACUUGCAUUAUCAACUUGAAAUAAAUCCACCCUGAAUUUGUUAAAAAAAGUCCCAUUUUAAAAGGCAACACAACAUGUAUGCAAUCUUACCUUUCAAGAGAAGUACAUCUAAGAACAAAAGUACAAAUCUAAAAAGACGCCAUGAUAAUGGUGUCAAUAAAUAUAGCUCUCAAUCAUUUAGUCUGGUGGAAA